rnacentral:rRNA from 1 species
UAUUAUGAGAGUUUGAUCCUGGCUCAGGACGAACGCUGGCGGCGUGCCUAAUACAUGCAAGUCGAACGCUUCUUUCCUCCCGAGUGCUUGCACUCGAUUGGAAAGAGGAGUGGCGGACGGGUGAGUAACACGUGGGUAACCUACCCAUCAGAGGGGGAUAACACUUGGAAACAGGUGCUAAUACCGCAUAACAGUUUAUGCCGCAUGGCAUAAGAGUGAAAGGCGCUUUCGGGUGUCGCUGAUGGAUGGACCCGCGGUGCAUUAGCUAGUUGGUGAGGUAACGGCUCACCAAGGCCACGAUGCAUAGCCGA